CCCAGCUCUAGGCAGCUGCCUAGUUUGCAUUGUACCUAGGUAAGUGUUACACAGGUGGGAGAAAAGCAGCUAAUAGCUGGUGGGCAUCCUGGGCCUGGUUAAUGCCAAAUAUG
rnacentral:snoRNA from 1 species